rnacentral:rRNA from 1 species
GUUAAAAAGCUCGUAGUUGGAUCUCGGCGGUCUGAGGGCGGUUCGCUCGAUGAGUGCUACUGCUCUAUAGGCCGUGGUUUUGCCAGAGGUCUCGGGGUGCUCUUAACCGAGUGUCCUGCGAUGCCGGCAGGUUUACUUUGAAAAAAUUAGAGUGCUCAAAGCAGGCUUUUACGCCUGAAUAUUCGUGCAUGGAAUAAUAGAAUAGGAAGUCGUUUCUGUUUUGUUGGUUUUCGGAAAUCGACUUAAUGAUUAAUAGGGACAGUCGGGGGCAUUUGUAUUCAAACGACAGAGGUGAAAUUCUUGGACCGUUUGAAGACAAACUACUGCGAAAGCAUUUGCCAAGAAUGUUUUCAUUAAUCAAGAACGAAAGUUAGAGGUUCGAAGGCGAUUAGAUACCGCCCUAGUUCUAACCAUAAACGAUGCCAGCUAGCGAUCUGCCGACGUUUUUUUGUAGACUCGGCAGGAAGCUUCCGGGAAACCAAAGCAUUUGGGUUCCAGGGGAAGUAUGGUUGCAAAGCUGAAACUUAAAGGAAUUGACGGAAGGGCACCACCAGGAGUGGAGCCUGUGGCUUAAUUUGACUCAACACGGGAAAUCUCACCAGGCCCGGACACUGGAAGGAUUGACAGAUUGAUAGCUCUUUUCU